AAUUAAUUUCUUAAUAUGUUGUCAACCAAGACAAGAACUUUAUCUAUUUAACCUCGUUUUCAUUUCGAUUAUUUCUCACCCUCUCAACAUCUUCAAGCCCUUGCAUCUACAAUUUUCUUUUUUCAUUUUGUCCGGAAUAUUUUCUAUAAAAUUUAAAAUGUCACAUGUACGUGGGAGUAAAAGAAAUCCAUCAGCAGAGGAGCGUCCCGUAAUUUUGGCACUUGAAUAUAGAAAAUUCGAUGCAUCGAGCUCCGUUCGUCGACCUUCUAUACCUCGACCGAGGAUUCCUAAACACCCCUUUACUUCGUUCGCUGCUCAGUUGUCGCCUUUCAUUGUUACUAUAAAGACUGGAGAGGUUGCUUCCUUUAUUAAUUUUCUGACUCCUUUUCGUUUAUUUUGUGUGUGUUUUUUUUACAACAAAAAAUCUCUGCUAAAGUUGGUUGAUUGCUCGAAAAUGAAUGUGACCAAGACAUAAUUCAUGUUUAUCACCGUUUUCUACUAAAGUAUAAAAAUGAUUGGCUUUUAUUAAAAUUAUAGAAUUCUAUUUUAUUCAACUAUUUGCAUGUUUAUCUGUGUCUUGUUAUCUCCCCAUUCGUGUGCUUAUUGGUUUCAUUUGUCCACAUAUUCUGAUUUUUUAUUUUUGAUUUUUUAUUUUUGAUUUUUGAUUUUUGUUUUUUUGAUUUUUGAUUUUUGAUUUUUGAUUUUUGAUUUUUGAAUUUUUGUAUACAAGGUAGGGUACUUUUGCUUCUCUGUGUGGAUUUAAUUAUCUGUAUUAUUGUGAGACCUUAUGAUUUUAUUAGCUUUUAUAGUAAGUGAAUAAAUAGGAGUCCUUUUGGAUACGGCUGCAUUUAUUUGACUCUACCAUAUUUUGUGUGAAUAGAUCUAUCUUAUCAUAAUUAAAUCGACUAGGCGUCACAAAUUAGGGCACAAAACCAAUAAAAGGUAACACUCGUAUACAACUAUGUGACAGACCGGAAGUUGGAAUUUUGUCAAAACCAAUAAAAGAAAUUGAUUUUGUCAAAUUAUAUGUUAAUGUGGUGUUACUUUUAUCCGUUUUUGCACAACAUCGUGAUAGAUUAAUUUCAACCUUAAAUUUCAGCGUCUUAACUUCACAGAAGAUUUAUAAUAUAGUAAGUUAUAAUUGAACUCCGAGAGAAGAAAAAUUGUGAUAAAAGAAAUAAAAAUAAGACUAAUUACGUGGAUGGAAGUACGGGAAAAAGAAGAAAUCGAACACCACUAUGAUCGUUCAGUUGACGUAUAAGUAGUUAACUUGUUACAGUAAUCUGAUGUUCGAUUUGCUUUUACAACUCUUCUUUUUGUGUAUAAAUUUCUUUUAUUUCUUUUCUGCUUUUAGGACAUUGGAAAAAGGAUACGAGAUUUCUUUCAAGAGCGUAUCCACCCAAGGUGUGGCGCUUUGUCGGUCGAGGGAUGUAUAUACACUGUAUCAGGUGACAUAUCGAACCCGAGAAUCGAUAUAAAAGGCGUAGCAACGUAUUUUGAGGUAAACAUACUUACUUGGGAUUGAGUCGAGUGUUUAUUUUAUUACUUGUUUGACGGAAUAGUAUAGCAGAAUUUUACUCGAAUCGAACUAAUAAUAUGAUUAAAUUUUGUCAUUUAGUGGUAAUUUAUGCAGAUUUAGUAACUCCUCCGUGCAAAUAAUAUUAGUGUGUUUUAUCAUAUCUAAACGAAUAAUUAAAUUAUAUAGUUUUUUUUGUUAUACAUUAACUUACGAAACCAAUUUAUUGUUAUACUUGCAGGGUAAUUUUUCCAUAGCAACCCUCACAGGCCGUUUCGUAAUAUCAAAUAACGGACGUGUACAGCUGGACUAUUUGAAAGUCGGCUUUCAACCAGACGAUGUGCUCGUCUGCGGUACUACGAUUGGGCCUCUGAUAGCCGGCUGUGCUGUUCAGGUUAGCUUCUCUCGUACAACACGAUGUUCUUAAUUAAGAUAAAAUCAAACGAUUCGUCCUCCAUUAGAAUAACGAAUUAUCACUAUAUUCGUGUACAACAUUUUAUUUUAUUUUUUCAUUUCUUUUUAUCCAAAUAAUCCAAUUAAUCGUCAUUUAGUGGGGGUUAUUGUGCAGAGUUAGCAACAACUCUGUGCAAUUAAUAUUUGUGCAUUUUAUGUGAGACCAAAUAAUCGUAGAAUAGUUGUUAUUUAUGUUCGAACCGUAUUUUUAUUCCAUUUUUCUUGCUGUUUUCGCUAUAUUUGAUCACUAAUUAUGUUACAGUAUAUUUUCUAUUAAUUGAGAAAAUAGAAAAAAGAAAAAGAAAAAGAAGGAUGCAUUAUCCAACAUUUGAAUGUCAUUCCAAAAGAUUUUUUUUUUCAUUUUUCUUUGAAAUAUAUUUAAUUCAAUUGCAGGUAUAACUCGCAUUGAUUUUUUUUUUUUUUGCGCAGCCGUAACCCAACUAAUGUACAUUUAAAUGCAGGUCACUCUGGGUUAUGCCAGGUUGGAUAAAGGAGAAACGAGCACCGCUCCUCUUCAGUCACCACAGUGCACCUCUGAGGGCUUUGCCGUAAAUGAAAAUGCCCUUGUAAUAAUUUGAAAUGUUACCGAGGGUUUUAGAUUGGUUGGCUAUCUACAUUAGUAGAUUGUGAUAGCAUUACAUGAUUUCGAUUUCGGGACUCGAAUUUGAGUAUUAGUUUUUCCAUAAUAUCGAAACCUUUUUUUUUUCCGUUUCACAUAAGCUGCAUAAGUGUAAAUUUUUGCCAGCAUUAGUGCAUGUUUCUUCGAACCUUAUUAUGUAAUGUGAUCUUUGCAUUAGAAAGACUAAUGAAUCAAAUAGUGAAAAUGGCUAUAUACUCUUUUGGAUGAUUAUCGGUCAUAUAUAAGGUUUUAUUCGACAUAUUUUAUGUCGACAUUUAUCAGUUUUAUCGAAAUUACUGGAUUGUGAGUGCAUUACAUGAACACUAGAACACAUAGACUUCUACUGUAAACACUAAAUACCAUCUCUUCUAAUGAGGGUUGAUAGACAACAAUAAUUUAUAUAAGGGAAAAUUAUGCUCUUCGUCCCUUAGGUUUACAUAGAUUUCAUAUUUGGUCCUGUUAGUCCACAAAAAAAACAUAUUUAGUCUCUUCUGUUUCAUUAAUUCAACACAUAUGGUUAUUUUCCAUUAUUUACCAUUAAUCCGUCAAUUAAAUUGGAAGCGAAAAAAAUGUACCCAUUUAAUGCAAAACUAUGGCAUUGAACUCAAUAUAUUGGAGAUAUUAAUAUUAAAUGAUACAUUUCACUAAUAGCUUAAGCUUUUGGUUGAGAUGGUCAUUCAACAUGGUAUCAGAGUUAGGCCAAAUGAAAGGUCCUGAGUUUGAAUCCCACAGCCACCCAUUUAAAAAUAUUUCAAGUGCAAGGCUUCAAAUGUAAUUCGCCUGCACUUGAGGGGGCGUAUUGGAGAUAUUAUGUACGCCAUCCCAAAGUAGUUUCGGAAGCUGAAAACCAUUGAUUAAGAGCUGCAAAAAUGAAAAAAAAAAAAGUUUAAUUUUCGGCAUUUUUCGCUACCAACUUUGAAACUUCAAACAUCGUAAAUAAUCGGAGUUUAUAACUUACUUUUUUUCAUGUGUUUAUCAUUGUUCGUGUCUUUAUCAUUGUUCCCUCUCCAUUUCCUUUCGGGCAAAGAAUAAUCUUCCUACAUUUAGCGAAAUAAAGUAGUGUGUAACAAACAAUAUAAUUUGAAAGGAUACCAUAAAAAUAGUUGCAAGUUAAUAAGGGUUUAUUGCAAUUAGUACCCUGUAUUAUGUUGAAUUACCAAAAGAACUGCCUCAUGUUAUUCUUUUGUCAAGAACCCCCCUAUGAUUCAACUUUUUUUAAGCACACAAACCCUAAACAUAAGUACCAAUUGCUAAUAAAAAUCAGAGGGGAGUUUUUGUCGAUAAAAUAACAUGAGGUGAUUUUGUAGUAAUUUCGUUAUAACGCAGGGGACACUAAUUGCAAUAAACUCUAAUUAAUAACACUAAAAAUCGUUACCAUUUCUGGCCUCCAGCAAUUGCAGAAUUCCAUGUUUCUUCCAAUUUGGAGAAAUCUGAAAUCUUCAAAUCAUGCUUGUAACGAAUAUCGACAUUCUCCAAAGAUAAACAUUCAACGGCCACUUGUCUUUCGAUGACAAAAACCUCAGCACCAAACACACACGUAUCAUUAACUAGAUAUCCGUUUGAUGGAUCAGACAGAAUUUCCUUCGAAAUAAAUUUGAAAGGCUCCAUUCAAAUUUCAUUGCUCGGAAACGUCUUGUUAUUCCUAACAAAUAGUAUUUUAUAUAUAUGUAUAAAAUACACCUUGGCAAUUUAAUAAACUAAUCUAUAGGACAAAAAUUACUAAUUUACCAGGAAAAAAAAAAGAAAAAACAAAAGGAAAGAUAAAGAUAAGGGAAAAUUACAAUUUUUAUCGCUCAUAAAAGUCACAUUUGGUCAUUUCCGUCAAUGAACCGUUAGUUCGUCGGUUAAGGUAAUAAUGGGCACACACUCAAUUCCGUUAGUACUAAAUGAAAGUUGACGAAAAUUACUAAAGGUGUUGAAUUUUUGAAACAUGAGGGACUAAAUCUAUUUUAUUAUGAGCAAAGAUGACCAAAUAUGAAAUCGAGUUAAACUAAAGUGACGAAAAGUAUUUUUCCCUAAAGAUAAUAUAUACAGUAGAACAUCGCUAAAUUAAUAGUCAUAAAUUAACAACCUCUUUUAAAUAAUUGAUUCUUUUGGUCCCGGCUCGGUAAAAACCUACUGAAUUAUUAGUUCGAUAAUUUAAUAUUUUGAUAAACUAAUAGAAUUCUGCUAGUCCCGACUAUAUUAAUUUAUAGAAGUUUAACUGUAACUAGUGAAUAAAGAUAGUGACCUGAAAUCUUAUUAAAGAGAAAGAUGUUGAAAACAACAUUGACUCCCCAGUUUGUAGGCAGAGAGCUUGUAUCCGCCAUAUAUAGCCAAGUUUACAGAUAUAUAAUCACUAUCUUUUCCAUUAAAAUUUAAUAAACUUCAUGUACAAAUUCAAACAUCCUCCAUUACUUCUUCCUUUAUUUGGUUUAAGAGAGAGAGAGAGAGAGCGCGCGAGAGAGUACCACUUGUAUUCUCCAGCCAAAAAUUCGUUUGUUUCGUAUUUCAUAAUUCCAUACUUGUCGACAAGGAGAAGGAUUCGAUCUUGAUCAGAAAAUGCAUGUCAUUCCCUAUAAUUUUUUUAUUUUCGCACUUUACUCCUUCAAAAUUUAAGAAAGUAGAUCAAACAAAUUGCAUGUUACACUUGAUGCACAUUGCCCCAAUAGCAAAAUUCCAAUGGAUUAUUAAUCGGAACUGAGUGUUUUUUCUUUUUCAUGCUGACCCUUAAAAAUAUUAUUUUUUCACACAUUGCCCCUUUAAAAUGUUACUUUUGUUGCACCAUAUAUGCCCACCGGAAAUUAACUUUGGGAUAAAGUGCAACCAAAACAAUAUUUCGAGGGGGUUAUCUCUUUUCUCAAAUUUUAUGGGGGAAAGUGACAAAAUUAAAAAUUUAUAGGGGUGAGGGGGUGAAGUGUAUUUUGUCCAUAUAUAUAUAUAUAUAUAUAUAUAUAUAUAUAUAUAUAUAUAUAUAUAUAUAUAUAUAUAUAUAUAUAUAUAUAUAUAUAUAUAUAUAUAUAUAUAUAUAUAUAUAUAUAUAUAUAUAUAUAUAUAUAAGAGAGACACACACAAAGACAAAAAUACACUGAUCGGUAAAAAUAUAUAUUGUACCAUGUAAUUUAAGAAUUACUUUUAUGCAUUAUUAAUUUAUCUAGUAUACGGGGCUUCUUAAUAUUUUCGAAUGUGUAUUAUCUUAUAAAUUUAGCGAAUUGUUAAUUUAGCAUAUUUUCCCCGAGUCGGGACUGGAAAAAUUUAUUAUUUUAGCGAGGUUAUUAAUUUAUUAAGUACUAAUUUAUCGAGGUUCUUCUGUAUAUCAAAUUUUUGGUUAAUGUGAAAAACAGGAGUAUCUUAAUGUGGAAUUCCUCAUGUUUAUUUCAGAUUUAUAUAUUUGUUGAUCAGCCAUGUCAAUCGAUUCCCAUCUUCGUAGAAUUUGGGGUAAGGUUUUGGGAAUUAGAAGAUGGAAAACUGGGGGUUUUGUAGAAGAGGAAUUAAUGAUUUGUUAUAUGGAGAUAAGAGAGAGAUAGAGGAGAGAUAAUGAGGUGUCGUCCAACUCAUCUUCCAGCUCGAUUUUGACUGCCAAAUGGAAGUCACGUGACAAUUCUGUCCAACUUAAUUGGGAAAGUUAACGGCCGGACCAUAAGUGUCCAAAAAUGAUAAGUUUGAGGACUAAAUUCGUAGCGGCAAAACUUUGAGGACCAGAAUCGUUUUAGGUAGCAUGUUGUGAAUAUUUUCUAGGAGGAGUCCAAAUUUUGCAUGAUAUUUGAAGCAGGGGCAAGAAUUUUUGAGCGAUUUAGGGAUGAAAGCAUUGAAACAUAAAUUCACAGUCUCAUUACGUGAAGAAUACAAUAUGCAAGUUUUGACUUCAUAAUAGCCUCUUUUUGGGAGCUUAUUAAAUGAGUUAUCAAAUCUCUUAACUACUAUUUGACUCCUAAAAUUUAGAAAUUAUGUUCUCCAAUGGUGUUAUCAAAAUGGGUUAGUAUUUUGAUAUUUCAUCUCUUUGUAUCUAAAAAUACUUCCUGCAGAAUGAGUUACCAAAAAAUUAACCACCUAAUCAACCAUUCACAAAUUAACAUGUGGCAAUUACAAAGAAAAUCACCAAAAAACUUCCAAUUGAUAAUAAAAUUUGAUAACUAUAGUUGGAGUUGGUGAAUUUAAAUAUAUUUUAAAAUAUUAUCUCAAAUAUCAAAUGAGCAUUUGAUAAUUCAAUUUUGAUGUUUAGCAUUGGAGUUGCUCUUAUAAAUCAAAAUCAUCUGGUGAAUUUAUAAUAUUAUACAUUUUUUUUUGUAGUAAUUGUAAAUUUAGAUAUUUAUUAAAAACAUUAUAACUUUAUUUUACUUCGAUAAACGUACAAUUGCAACUAAAAAAAAAUCAUAAAACAUUUAACUAGACACGUGCAACGCAACGCAAGUGCAUCUUCCUAGUAUGCAUAAAAUAGAGAAAUAAGAUCGCGUACUGUUGGCAGAGAUGCUAGGAUUUAUGCUUGUUCUGCAGUACAAUUGUUUAUAUAUUUUCCAAUUUCGCAAAUAUGAAUUUGAUUAGGGAUAUAACUGACCGAUCUUGCUAUUGUCUAAGGACUAUUUGGUAAUUUCAAUUUGUAACUGGAUCGUAAAUUUUCUUGGAUUCUCCAAUCUUACCUCCUUAUGCGGGAUCCACAAUCUAUUAAACACCGGAUCUGAACCCAGGCUGGGGAUCCAUCUCGGAUCCAGAUAUUAUGUAUCAAUCUUCUCAAUUCCAAGAAACCAAAAUAACACUUAAAGGAUUCUAGAAGAUCUUGUAGAAUCCUCCUUGUAUAUAUUUGGUAGGAAAUCAUAGGAGAUACUCUUAGCCAUUAGAUCAAGAUGACCACCAACGAUUCUUAAGAAGGUAGAGUUAUAUAAAUAGGGGUAACACUAUUCAUUUUAAUCACCCAAGAAUCCAAACAAUAAAGUAUUCUAUAGCAAUCUCCAACACUUGUUCUUUCUUAAGAACUUGCAUACACCUCUGUGCACUUUUGAGUGAGGUUGUCUUAGCUUUUUUGCAAGGGGCGAAGUUCGAAUAGGCGCGAUGGGCAUUGAUUAGUGAUUAAGUGCCGUACACUACUUUGAUCGAGAUUCAAGUCCGUGACACCAGACAGUACUAUACUAAACAAAUAAUUAGCCCAAAACACAAUGACAUAAUUAUCAUCCCUAGUAUGAACAAAAUAUUCAAAAUAAAAAAUAAAAUCGAACUAGAUUAUGGUGUGCGAGCCCACCAUGAUUAUGGUGUGCGAGCCCAACAUCUGGUGGCACACGAUCCUUUAGCGGUGGUCAUACAGUGUGACAAACGCUUGCCUCACAAGCGUCGUGAAAAAAUAUUGUAAGCCAUUUAGGUCAUAAUUUAUCAAAAAAAAAAAAAAGAAUAAAAAAGUAAUAAAAAACAAAAAAUAAUAUAAUAAAAAAAUUCAAGACAACGAGAAAAUAUAGUCCACAACCCCAACCACAAUUGUUUUUUUUAAUUUUUUUAAUAAUUAUUUAAAUUGGGAGGGUUUUUUUUUUUCAAACUUAGAUCAAACGGUGUUAAGGUCAAAUGUGUGAAAACUAACUGCGAGAGCCACAUUGAGACAAUUUUUCAAAUACGGGGGGCAAAUCGAUGAAAUUGAGAGCAGAAGGGGUUAAAGUGAUAUCGAGCCAAAGUACAAGGGGGCAAAUCGAUGCAAUUGAGAGUAAAAUCAGGUAAAGUGAUAUCGCGCCAAAGUACAAGGGGGCAACUCGAUGCAAUUGAGAGUAAAAGGAGGUAAAGUGAUAUCAAGGAAAAGUACGAGGGGAGAAAGUGGAAUUUACCCUUAUAUUUAUGAAGUCACUCAAAUUAAACAAAACAAAUCAUUAAAUAGUUGAAAAAUAUAAAAUAUAUUUUACUCGUAUACGACGUCACACACCCACCAGACCGCGUAGUCUGCGCCACUGGAAACAAUUUGACCAUCAUCCGUUUUAAGACACGAGCAAUUAACAUGAACAUAUUAUCAUAAAAGCAUAUUCGUCGCCUCUCACAACUCUUGCAACAUGAUUCUCAUACGAUGACACAUAGGUAUGAGUGUUAGGUAUUUAGCCCCAACAAGUUUUUGGCGCCGUUGCCGGGCAAUACGGCUAAAUUAUCUAUUUAUUCUAAUAUCAAAUUUGAGCAAUUUUUCUUACUUCAGCCAUUUAAUUUUUAUUUUUAUUUUUAUUUUUAAUUUUGAUUUUUUUUUUUUUUUUUUUACAUGUCUGGUUACAAUGUCGGGGCACCUCAAACAGGAUAUGAAUGGCUUCCAUCUGACGAAUGUCUCCCAAACACCUAUGAUAUGCCUCCGUUUUGUUCCGCAUGUGGUGGAAAUCAUUAUUCCGAUCAAUGUUGGGGAUCACCAAAAGCGACAAAUUUCAUCGAAAUUACCAACGGAGGUUAUUGGAACACUUACAUCAACAACACAUACGAGCAAAGCUUUCAAGACCAAGAUUUGAACGAGUUUCAACAUAGAGAGCCACAAUUUGAUGAUUUUCAAAAUUAUUAUCCAAUGCAACAGCAGCAGACCACUGAUGAACAAGUUGAUUUGGUAUCCCUCAUUGCCGAAUUCACGAAGUCCACUCAAGCAUCAUUUCGAAACAUGGAGAUAAAACUGGAAGAGAUGACGCUCAAAUUAAAAUCUGAAUCUCUUGAAAAUAUUCCAGACAAAAUCGGCAAUAGCUAUAUCAAAGAAAAUUCGGGUGAAGCCUGCGGUGAGAAAAAUCUUCUAUGUCCGGAAAAUAGUGUCGAUGUGAGAGAAAUAGAAAUUACGAAGAAACUUGAGCAUGAUGAAUCUGAGAAGGCAAUCGAGCUAAACCACGAAGAUGCCUCAGAACAAGAGAAGAAGGAGAUGAAUGUAAUGAUUGAAGAUAUUCUAGUUGUGGCCUCUGUCGCUGAUCUAAAUGUGGAUUUGAAGGCAUCAAUAAAGGUUGAUGAGAAGACGAAUGUGUUUGAUGUGGAGGUUAUACGCGGAUGUGAGGUUUUUGUGUACCGAUUUGAGGGAGCGGGUGAUGAAGAUCCCAUCUUAGCUUCGUACCGAUUGAUUACAACCAAGAAAGACUACAAGCUAAGGUGGACCUUGAUAUAUUGCAAUGCUAUCCAUGUCUUGGUUGCAAUUGAAGUGAUAGAGCUCAUGGAUGGAUGCGCAAUCUACAAGGCUUUGGAUUGGACAUAACAGUUUUAAGAAGCAAAGUCUGGCUGAAGACUUAAAACUUAGCGCUUCUUGGGAGGCAACCCAAGCAUUUAUCGAUUUUCGUAUUUUUAUUUAUUUUUAUUUUUCUUAGGAUUUUAGCAUGCGCAAACUAAUAUUUUUUUUUUAGGUCGAAAAUCAAACACUAAGGGAUUGGACGUUAAAUGUGGAUUAAACGAACAUCAAAGAGUGCAUCCCGGAGAAGGACCUUCCGACUAAUCAGGUGUAUUCUAUCCUUGAACUUUGUUCUAAUUGCAUUGAGGAAAAAAAUUUAAGUUUGGGGCUGGAAAAUUACUUGUUUUUAUGUGCUUUAACUUUUUAGUUUGCAUGCCUUAGGAUUUUUUUUUCCGUUUAUUUAUUGUUUUCUUAAAAAAGAAUUGCUUGAGUCGAAUGCAUCGAUGAGUUAUAAUAAUGAGAGAUGAUCAAUGUUUGAUGAUGAGAUUGCUUGUUUUGUGUGAUAAUGAUUAGAUAUUUAUUUAGCUUUCGAUUCAACGGAACUUAGAAAUGAAUUAUUGCUAGGAAUCACACUUUGUGCAUUGUUUUGGUUGAAUGUUUUGUAUUUUAAAUUUGGAGUUAAUUUGUGUUAGAUCAUGCUAUGUUCGGUUUUAGACCUCACCUUAGGAAAUUUAUGAUACGAAGUAUUGAGUAGUGAGUGAUUUGGGAUAUGAUUUGGGCAUUCUUUGAUCCGUUUGAGCCUUUCAAGCCGACCUUUUUAUCGAAAUUUUCCUUAAAACCUUGAUUUGAGCCUCGGAGAAAAGGUGUUCUUUCUUUUAUCCAAUGUGUAUAAGGUUGAAUAGAUGGAGAUUCUUGAAAAAUUACCCCUUGGAGCUCGCUUGAAAUUUUUUAUAAAGUCCUUCUUCUCCUUCCCCGAAAAAAAAAAGAAAAAAGAAAAAAAAAGUGAGAGAGAGAGAAAAAAAAAUAGAGAAAAAAAAGAAGAAAAAUAUAUGUGUGUCUAUAUAUAUAUAAAAAAAGAAAAAGAAAAGAGAAGAAGAAGAAGAAGAAGAGACUAGAAGGGAGAACUAAGGACUAGUUGUGGAAUUAUUUUGAAAGCUCGAUCCACUGUCUUAAGAGCAAAAGUGGAGACUUUUGAACUCUUAAGAAUCGAGUUUAGUAAAGUCCUUAGAGGUGAAUUCAUUGUGUCAAACGCCUAUCUUUGAAAUUUUGGUGUAAUCACCUCAAUUCAAGAAGAAUAGCCACAUAUACCCAUAUUUCCUACCUCGAACCAAAAAGCCUAACAAUUGAAAGCCAAAAAGCCCCAAUGAUCCCAAUAGCUUAAAGUUCGAUAUUAGUAGAGUAAUAUAUUUUGGUGAGUAUUUGGAGUCAAACAUAUACAUGUAAGCAUAACUUUUUUCUAUCUUUAAUUUACAAAUAUUGGAUGCUUGAAGCAAUUGCAUGAUUUGUGGUUUUUGGCUAUGGUAAGUGACUAUGUGCUUUUGAAUUUCGAGCUUGCGAAUGCCUAAGAAUUUUCAUUAUAAUUACAAGUUCUGAAAACGUGAAGUUGGUCAUUAAUCUAUGUGAUGAGAUGCGGUAGUUGAGUUUUUUGCUUACGAUUAGAUUUUGCUUGAGGACAAGCAAAAGUUCAAGUUUGGGGGUGUGUUGAGUUUAGAUAUUACACUCAAUACGUUUACUUUACGUGGAUCUUUUGUUUAGAUUUAAUUAUAUUUGUGCUUUAAUUGAUUGAUUUUGUGUUUUAUAGGUAAAAAACGAGAAUUAGGUGUCCAUGAAGGAAAAAAGAUCAAAAAGAAAGGAAAAAAGUUGCAAAUAAGGAAACAAAUCAAAUUGGAAGAAGGAAUCCCGCCACAACUUUGACAGUGUCCACCAUUUCGAGCAUAUCUCUCUCAUACGAACUCCGAAUUAGGUGAUUUUGACGGCAUUGGAAAGCUAAUUUCAAGGGCUACAACUCUUAUUUACACAAUAUUCCAAAAUUAGGACUCCAACAUGGCACAAAUCGACGAACAAAUCCUGGUGGGGGAAAGUGACGGAAAUUGAUUCCUAUUAGGUUUCCACUACUUCCUUAUCAAGAAAAGCCUAUAAAAGCAACAAAUCUCUACACCAUAAGGACGAAAUUUUACACCACAAAACACGAAGAACGAAGAUCAACGAAGACUCAAGCAUAGUUUUUUCUUAUUUAUUUUAUUUAUUCUAUUUUGCUUAUCAUAAGAAUUACGAGUAGCUAAGUUUUUAAUCUAGGCAAACAAGUAGUAAAAGUGGACUCGUGAGAGUCGGAUGUCGAUCCCAUAGGGAAUACGUAAAUUAUCUAAUCCUAAGUACCAAAUUCUAACAACUAUGAUUUUUAUCCAGCCUACGCAAGUUUGUCGAAUUAAAUCAAUUAAACAAUUAAAAUAAUUAAGAAAGCAAAGAAUCACGAGAAAAUAUCAAUAUAAAACGGAUCUAGGAUUUUAUCUUCCCCCUAUGCAAGAAUUGCUCACCCAAAACCCCUCAAUUAUGAAAUAUAUGAUUCAUGAUUAUUAACCCGAGACACUAAUUUACUCAUAACCCGUUGUCGCGUGUAUUAUGAGUCUAUUAUUCAUAAACGAUUCACUAUAUGUCUAUGCAAACCAAUUAUAAAUAAAGCAUUAACUAACAAGUCUCGUAAAUGGCUACCUAAGGUGAUAUCUGUAUGUCUACGACACCACAUGCAAUUGACACACUCAUCCGGUGAAAACUACUCGAAGGUUCUUAUACUUACCGUCUAAUUAUCAAAAUAGCUCUGUCGAGUCAAUCCCAAUAAUCACAGAUAAAGCACAUAAAUUGAUCAAGUUCAUGCACUAACAAUCAUAACAAGUAUAAGAAAUAAUCAUAAAAUCAUAAUUGCAUAAUCUCAAGAAAACGGGUUCACCAUCCCCACACAGGGUUCCAACAAAAUCCUAGAUUAAAAACUUAGCUACUCGUAAUUCUUAUGAUAAGCAAAAUAGAAUAAAUAAAAUAAAUAAGAAAAAACUAUGCUUGAGUCUUCGUUGAUCUUCGUUCUUCGUGUUUUGUGGUGUAAAAAUUCGUCCUUAUGGUGUAGAGAUUUGUUGCUUUUAUAGGCUUUUCUUGAUAAGGAAGUAGUGGAAACCUAAUAGGAAUCAAUUUCCGUCACUUUCCCCCACCAGGAUUUGUUCGUCGAUUUGUGCCAUGUUGGAGUCCGAAUUUUGGAAUAUUGUGUAAAUAAGAAUUGUAGCCCUUGAAAUUAGCUUUCCAAUUCCGUCAAAAUCACCUAAUUCGGAGUUCGUAUGAGAGAGAUAUGCUCGAAAUGGUGGACACUGUCAAAGCUGUGGCGGGAUUCCUUCUUCCAAUUUGAUUUGUUUCCUUAUUUGCAACUUUUUUCCUUUCUUUUUGAUCUUUUUUCCUUCAUGGACACCUAAUUCUCGUUUUUUACCUAUAAAACACAAAAUCGAUCAAUUAAAGCACAAAUAUAAUUAAAUCUAAACAAAAGAUCCACGUAAAGUAAACGUAUUGAGUGUAAUAUCUACACUCAACAAUGAGCCAUUGCAAUUUCGAUUAUCUUGAACUUAAUAGAUGCUUGCAAUUUUAUUGAUCGCAGUAAUUUGACUUACGAAACUUUUAAUAGAUUCUUUUUUUUUCAGAUCUGAAAAUUGUAUUUUCAGAUUUGAACAGCUGCAGUAACAUGACUAUUGUCAUAGUCGAAUAUGACUAUAGUCAUAUUUAUGUAUUGUUUGAAUAUGAUUGUAGUCAUAUUCGAAUAUGACUAUGGUUAAAUACGACGGUAGUCAUAUUCGAAUAUGUUAUAUUUUCUCGUUUUGAAGUUGACUUCUAAUAACUAGAUUCAAAUUGUGAUUUUUUUUGUAGAUGUUGAUUGGAUUGUUUACGUAAACAUAAGGAACCUUCGUUGUUUUAUAUAAUUUGGUGAACAUAACUAUACCACACUAUAUAAUCGGAAUUGUUAAGUUGAAAAAGUGAAAAACUGCAAUAUAAAAAAUAAUAUGACUACAGUUAAUAUACUCACAUAUAGUCAUAUUCAACUAUAGUCAUAUUCGGCUUUUUAAAUCUGUCGAGAAAAGAAUUUCAAUUUUUUGUUUAAAAAAUAUUAAAAAAAAAAUUAAAAAUAUAUUUUAUUAAAAAAUAUUAAAAAAUAAAAAUAAAUAAAUAAUGGCUAAAUAAAAUUCGAAAAUAAUAAAAAAUAAGAAAUAAAAAAAUUAUUUUUUUUAUUUGGUAGCAAAUUUUUAGGGAUUUGGAAGCAGAUUUUAAGGAAGGAAUUAGAUUUAUUGUUAUGGAAAGUGAGAAAAAAGGAAUAAUUGAUAAUAAUUAUGUUAAUUGACAUAAGGGUAGAAUUGGGAAUAAAAUUUCUAGGGGUUAUACAAAGAAAGAUUUAAGGGGUGGACAUAUCACCAUUUCUUAUCUAUAUGAGAGGUUUAUUGCUAAUGACUCCAUAUAUUUUACUCGUAUACGAUGUCACACACCUACCAAGCCGCGUAGUCUGCGCCACUGGAAACAAUUUGGCCAUCAUCCGUUUUAAGACACGAGCAAUUAACAUGAACAUAUUAUCAUAAAAGCAUAUUCGUCGCCUCUCACAACUCUUGCAACAUGAUUCUCAUACGAUGACACAUAGGUAUGAGCCAUUGCAAUUUCGAUUAUCUUGAACUUAAUAGAUGCUUGCAAUUUCUUGAUCGUAGUAAUUUGACUUACGAAACUUUUAAUAGGUGCAUGCAGUUUUGAUAGGGACCGUUGUGAUAUGAUUUGUUGUAUAAUAAUUCUAAAGACAAUUAAUUGCAUUUAUAAAAAAUAUUUUUUCCACAUGUUUGUUAUAUAUUAGCAAGUCUCACGUGCAUUGCACGCGAUUACACGUGAUUUUACUUAAUAUAUUAUUUAGGAUUAAUUAAUAAAAGUUACAUAUUAUAUUGACAAAAAAAUAUUUUUAAAUAACAUCAAAUAAGUACAUAACUUCAUGUUCUACUUAUGUAAGCGUAUGAUGAAAGGGAAAAUUACAGUUUAUGUCCCUAAACUUUACCACUAAAACGAUUUAUGUCCUCAAAUAUUUCAAUCUACGAAAUAUGUCCUCAAACUUGCCACUUUUGAUCAUUUUAUGUUCUGCCGUUAACGUCGGCAGCUAACUUCUACGGAAAUAGCACGCGUGGCUCACGUGACUUUAACGGAAAUAGAAAAUUAUAACCCCUUAUAAUUUUCUAUUUUGGCAUUUUCCCCCUAAAAGUUUAGAAGAAGAGAUAAACCCCCCUAGAAAUAUUGAUUUGGUUGCACUUUGCCCCAAAAGUCAAUUUUCGGUGGGCAUUGUGCAACAAAAAUAACAUUUUAAAGGGGCAAAAUGUAAAAAGAGUGUUUUGAAGGGACAACGUACAACAAAAAUCACAUUUAAAGGGCAAUGUGCAAAAAAAAACCACACUCAAUUCCGAUUAAUAAUCCAUCGGAAUUUUAUUAUCGAGGCAAUGUGCAACAAGUAACAUUUUGAAGGGGGACAUUCACUUUUUUAAAUUUUGAGGGGGUAAAGUGCGAGAAUUAAAAAUUUAUAGGGGGUGACAUGCAAUUUGCCCUUUUUUUCUCUCUCUCAACGCAAUAGGGAUGUUUAAGCCAAUAGGAAUAUUGACACAACAGAAUCUGCGUUCAGUGAAUUUAGUCAAUCCCAUUAGUUCCAAUGGACUUUAAUUGGGAAUAUUAAUCUUCCAAAUUUAGCUGAGAAGUUUUUUGCACGAAAUUUAGUGGUCCUUUAAUUAGUUUAUUAUUUGGAACGAGUGUGCUUUGAUGCUCGGCUAGUUGAUCUUUACAAAACAUCAGUGUCAAUGAACUGGGCGGGCCACACCUCAUUAUACGAUCUAUGGUAUAUUAAUGCCCGCAUGGGUGUAGCUUAACUGGUUCCGGAGGUGGUAAGUUGGUGCAAGGUCCUAGGAUCGAAUCCUGGCAGCCGCAGUGUGGGAAUUUCAACUCCAAUGAGUUGGUUCCUUGUGGGCACCAGGUCCGGGUCCGCUACCUUAACGGACCGUUGAGUUACCAUGAUUUACAUUCCUCCAUCAAUCCUUGUCGGGCCAAGGGAUGGGGGCCCUGGGGGCGAGGGAUUUCGCCUUUUGGUGCAAGCUAUGGUAUAUUAAGAUGACCACCUCAUUAUUUUACAGAUAUGCUAAUUUUCUUGUGCCCAUUGAAUGAUGAUAGAAAACGUGCAUGCUUCGUUCGAUGUUCGAACGAGCACUAAGUUCCCUUCUACAUGAUGAAUCCGCUGAGGUACGUAUGUACAUUCAGUCUUCUAUUUAUUCACUUCGUUGUUGCAAUUUAGUUGCUAUCGUUCUGCAGUGUUUACAUAUAUUGAAUUUUCGAUUUAGAUACUUAGCGUGCCAUUUGAUAUUCCAUUGUCUCAAAUAUAACUUCGAAAAACCAUUUUGGAGUACCUGAAAAAAUUAUCAGAUAAUUGCUGUUAAGAUUCUUAAAUAAGACUGUAAGGUUUGUAGAAAUCGAACCUUCAUAAUGAAUUCCUAACAAUAAAAUAUUCGUUUAGACAUUUUUUUUCUUCUUCUAAUCGUACAAUAAAUAUGUUAUCUUUUCAUACAAAAUACAUAUAACCAUUAGUAAUAGUACCUUUUGGUAAUUGGUACUUCAAAUGUCGUAAAAAACAAAAGUGAUAAUUGGUUAACUAUGCUGACGUAGGAUAAAAGAUGUUUUACAUGUUUUUCUUUUCUUUAUCUAUUUUUUUUUUUUAUUUUGGAAUAUUUUAUUUACAUGCCGCACGUAGAAUCUGCAUGAUCGAAAAAUUGUUUCUUUAUUUGUCAGAAUCAUAAACAAUUUCACUUUUUUUUCAUAGGUUGUAAUUGAGUUGGAUCUUCAGGUAAAGUUUAUUUAUGUGCUUGGUUAAAUACUUUUUAGAUCGGAAUAAUUACAGUUUUGGCCGCCCAAGUUUGCACGUUUUUCACUUUUGGUCCCCCAUUUACCGCCGUCAACAAAAUACACACUAAUGUUGUCACAUUUGAUCACAUUUAGUCCCUCCUUCUGUUUUAAGUAACGGUCAACUGUAGAAUUAGAUCUGAAUUUAGGAUUUUUCAUAGAUAAAAAAUGCACUCAGACCCCUGCAUUCUUUUAAAAUAUUCUAAAAACCCCUAAAAUUUUAUUCAACCCUAAUUUAACCUCAAUUUCAUCAUUUAAUCAAUUUUGACAAACGACCCCAAUUUUUAACACCAUUACGCUGACCGUUGACCGCCGUUGAUUUUUUUUACUUUUUCUUCGGCAUUGACUUUUUUUAUUUAAUAUUGAUUUUGAUGUUGUUCACCAACACUGUAUUCUCAGUUAACAAUGUUGACUUUUUUUAUUUUUCUUCAUUUUUUAUGAACUUUUUCCUGUGACGUUUUUUUCCGAACAACACAAUCACUACAAGAAAAUGUAAAAUAGGCAACGAUUUCUACAUCGACGAAAUUAAUUUUGUUGCCAAUGGUUAUAUUUUAGCAACGAAAUAUAGUAUUUGUUGCUAAAGAUUAACAUUUUUGUAACAAGAUAUUUUUGUUGCCUUUGAAUCUCAUAGGCAACGAAAUAUAUUGUUGUGAAUAGUAUUAUAUAUAUUUUUCAACGAAUUUCAUGUAAGACAACAACUUGUUUUGUUGCAAAAGAGUAUUUCUUUUUGCUACGAUAUAAAAUUGUAGUAAAUACAUUUACAACGGCAACAAAUUUAUGUUGUCACUAGUAUGUGACGAAAGACUACAAAAUCUUUUGUAAAUGCUCCAAGAGAUUUGACAACAAAAUAUAAUCGUUGCCAAUUUAAAAACCAACUUUUUUUCUUGAUUUUAAUUUACUGUAUAUGUUAUUAAAUCAAUACAUAUAUAUACAUAUUAUAUAUAAUAAAAUAUUAUAAAAAAAAUCUUAUUUGUUUAUAUUAUAACUCAUGCAUAUUUUUAUAUUUAAUUAAAUCAAGUGCUUAUAUGUUUUAAAAAUUUAUUAUAUACACAUUUAUUAAUAAGAGAGAAUUCAUAAUAGAUGUUAUAUUCAGAAUUGAAUUCUAUUGUAAAUUUUACUUUUUUGAACAUAAAAGACAUAUAAUAUUAUUUAUUUAUAUAAUUUAUUUGACAUUAGUUAUAUAACUAUUUUAAUCAUUUUACCUUAUCUAUUUAGUUUUUAUAAAUUUAUUUGAAGUCUAUUUACAUAAAUGUACUGUUGCCCUAGCGGUUGGAGGGCUCUUUAACUUUGAAAUCAACCAGGGUUCAAAUCCUUAAUUUGUCAUGCUUACAUAUAAUGAUAUUUAUCAAGCGGGUCCAGUUGGGCCAGCCCUGAGUUCGAUCCAAUAGUUCUGAUUCCGAACAGGGUCGGGUGUGAUGGAUGUGGGUUGGGGCCCUGAGUUCGAUCCAAUAGUUCUGAUUCCGAUCAGGGUCGGAUGUGAUGGAUGUGGGUUGGGUUGGGUCAAUCGAUGGGGGGGUCGGAUGGAUACGAAACCGGACCAGUGGUAUAUUGUGUUGUCUAUUUACAUAUCUUUUGCAAUGAAAUAAAUUCGUUGCGUAUACUAAAUACAUUGGCGACGAAAUAAAUUUGUUGUCUAUAAUGAAUGUAUUGGCAACGAAUUAUAGUUUGCAACGGAACAAAUUCAUUUUGGAUAAUAAACGUAUUAGCAACGAUAUAUUUUGGGUGACGAAAUAGAUUCGUUGGCUAUAAUAAUGUAUGCACAACGAUUUUUUUAUUUUCGUUGCCAUGAACUUUCUGCAACGCGGAUUUGAAAACGAACAUGGCAACAAACAAAAUUCGUUGCGAAUUAUAUUGGCAACGAAAUUUUGCUCAGCAACAACAAAAUAUUUCGUUGUCAAAUAUAAAAUUUCUUGUAGUGAAUUACUGUAUAACACAAUAAUAAUAUUAUAUUAAUAUCUAGUAUCGUAAUAUUAAAAUUACAAACUUCCAACAAAGUUUUUAUCUAAAAUUCAAGGGCCUAAAUACAAUUUAAAAAAAAUUCUAAAAUCCAUAAUUUUUUCCCCUCAAUUUUUUCUUCGUGGAACCGUCAUUACAUCCCAAAUUUCUUCCCAAAAAAAUAUGAAAAAUAUGAAUUAGGCAUGUACGGAGUAAUUUGGAAUGAGAUAACCACUCUAGUACAACGGUUUUUGGGGCUAACACCGGCCGUUAAUUUUCAUCUUUUUUUUUUUGUCUUAAAUUUCUUCCGUUAUUGAGAUGCGGUGAGUUUUUCCUUUUUUCUUUAUUUUGACUUUUUUUUAUGAUAUUAUUUUCUUGCCGAUUAUCAGCUUUGAAUUUUUUUAAAUUAUAUUUUCCAUUACUCAACAAUUUAAAUAAAAAAAAAUCAAGAAAAAAAAUGUCAGCGCUGUUAACCCGACAUUCAAACAUCGGUCAACAGCGGCAAAAAAAAUCAAUCGAAAAAAGAGUCAACCGAGUUAAAACAAAAGUCAACGUCGGAUUAUCCAAUUUUGAAAAAUCGGAUUCAUUGGUUAAAAUUGGUUAAUUGAUGAAAUUUGGAUUAAAUUAUGGUUGGAUAAUUUUUUAGAGGUUUUUAGAGUAUUUUGAAAGAAUACAGGGGUCUUAUUGCAAAUUUCUCAAAGAAAAACCCCAAAUUCAACCGUUGACCGAUACUACUCAACGGUCAAACAAACGGAGGGACCAAAUGUGUUAUAAUGUGACAACAUUAAUGUGUAUUCUGUUGACGGCGGUAAAUGAGGGACCAAAAGUGAAAAACGUGCAAACUUGAGGGACCAAAACUGUAAUUAUCUCUUUUAGAUCUAAAUAAAUCUCCAUUAAAUCUUUAUUUACGGAUCAUUGAAUUUGUCAAAUGGGACGAAUACUGUUUUUAUUAUGACAAUUUUGAUCCCAGGUGGAGUCGUAUGUCAGAGUGAUGUUUGUCUCGAAGAAUAAGGCGGAUACAUAGACGUAUGAGUUAUAUUUUUGGAUUUAUCUUAAAUAUGUAAAAAUAAAAAGGGCUUAUUGUAAUGACCCUUGUAUAAUGGGGGAGUUUUGUCAAAUUUUUCUAAUUAAUUAAUACAGUAAUAUUAUUGUUUCAGACGGUUAAAUUACUGUUGGAGACAGUAAUUUAGAACACAAGACAGUAAUAUUAAUUAAAAUAAUUUUUUUCAAGAAAAAACAAAAUUUCAAAAAAGAAAAGUCAAUUAACAGUUAAAUUACAGUCUCCAACAUUUAAAUAACUGCUGGAGACAGUAAUUUAGCAACGAAGACAGUAAUAUUAAUUAAAAUAUUAAAAAGAAAAAGUCAAUUAAGAGUUAAAUUAUUGUCUCCGACUAUUAAAUAACUGCUGAAGACAGUAAUUUAGCAGCCAAGACAGUAAUAUUAAUUAAAAUAUUUGUUUAAGAAGAAAAAAAGGUCAAUUAAAAGUUGAAAUACUGUCCCCGACAGUUAAAUAACUGCUGGAGACAGUAAUUUAGCAGCCAAGACAGUAAUAUUUAUUUUAAUAUAUGUUUUUAAGAAAACUCAAAAAAAAAAAAAGGUCAACGCCGGAGACCUGACGGUAAACGGUGCUUGACCUACCGAAAAAAAUUUCGGAAAAAAAAAGUUUAAAAAAAAAAAAAGUCAAUGCCAGAGACCGGCGGUCUCCGUUGGUGGCGGGUCAAAAUUGGUUAUUUGGUGAAAUUGGACUAAAUUAGGGUGUAAAUCAUGAAAUUGAAGUUGAAUUGAGUUUCAAUGAAUUGGGGGUAAUUUUGGUAUAUACAAAAGAGUUUUCCUUAUUUGCAAAUAAGUUUGAAUGAACUGAAAAUAUUUAAAAGACAAAAACGUUGGAUGUCCAUUUUUAAUUAAGUGCCAUUGUCAGGGUGGACCUAUUUGCCAUUUGCCCUUUGUUUUAUUGUUAUUAUUAUAUAUAUAUAUAUACUAGUCUCGAAGCACCGCACAAGGUGCGGUGUCGGUGCCCAGUUAAUUUCUUCAUAAGGUAUAAAUUUUGAUUUCUUUCGAACUCUUGAAUAUUUGCUUGAGGGAGCAAUACCUCAAUCUUUUCUUCGUAGCAUCAAUUUAUGUUAGAUUAUUGUUAUAUGGUAUGGAAUGCAAUAUUAAAACCGGCAAAGUAUGGCUAAAUUUGUUCCAUAUCUUAUAGAGGAAGGACAACUGUCAUGUCAAGAAUUCAUGAAUUGAGAAAAAUAACGAGGUAAAACAGCUUCACAAGGCGGAAAUGAAAAUUUCCACAUACGGCGAAAACAAAUGUACAAGGGCAUCAAAAUCCAUACAAUAACACCUUAAAAUUUUAAAAACCUCCCGACGUACGCUUGGCAGCACCGAUGAUGCACUCUUGACGUGGCCAAUUGAGCAUGCACCCAUGCCAACCCUGUUUCACAAUUUAAGCAAAUAAACGCAAGACACGAGAAAGCAGACAAAUAAAUGUGACAUGUACGCUCAAAUAAGCGGGCAAACGAUUCAACGAAAUACAUGCGAACACCUAAAUAACUAACAAUUGAAAGGUAAAUUACAAAAUAGCUAAAAACUGAAAGUGAGAACCAAAACAUAUGCUCCCCAACGCACCUAUCAAGAUUAUUUAUUUCAAUUUCAGUAGCAAUUCAAACAGUAGAAAACAUAAAAUAAAUUCGUUGAAGCAAUUUAAUAAAGGAUAUUUCAUUUCAUUUACCCAGAAUUGAGGGAAGGGAAACUUUAUUUUCCUCCUUUCUUGCUGAACUCCCAUAAUGGAUGUAUCAAGCUCCAUCAGAUGAUUACACUCUCGUGCACAAAUAACAGAGAUUUCACUAUUUAUAUAGAAUGUCGAUGAAUCAAUCUCCUGCAAAAUGCCUACUUUAUUCUCAUGCACUUGUACAGUAAGUACCUCACCAAACUUCUGAAACAUGUGCUUCUUCAAGUACAUUCUCUCAACUUUUUCUCUACCUUUUAAUCCUAUUUAUUGCCUUGCUUUUGAAUUCUCGAGCAAGAAUUGAAGAUUGUUCGCAAGAAUUCGGACCCCCCGGCCUACCUAAAGGAUGAAGAUCGGUUAUAUUGUGUAAUUGUGUUCAACAAUCUCUCUUGUUCCUCCAGAAUCAGUUCCGAGCACCUGUAUCACCAAAAACACUCGCCCCUUCAUAGACAGCUCAUGGAAGAUCCAGUCAUGGCGAGUGGAGCUCCAGUCAUAGACAGCUCAUGGAAGAUCAAAACAAACUUUCUUGACCAAACUAAACGAGCAAAAGCUCCCUUCCUAUAUCACAAGUACCCGACACUCCACUCCAAAAUUGAGUCCUCUACAGAUCCAAACGGGCCCACAAGAAAUACGUAAGUCGUAUUUUUCUUCGGUAUUAUUUCCUCUGUUUGCAAAUCAACUUCACUUUCCACUUCGUCUGCAAUCAUCGUCUUUGGCUUACUACUGACUGGUCUCUUCCUACGUAGAGAUCUCCUACUCCUCAUCGAGGGCUUGUUUUUAUCCAAUGUAGUGUUCUUCGCAAGAACCACAUCCACAAUACUUUUACUCAACUGCCACAGAAUCGACUUUAGCAAUUAAGUCCCUCCUCCGAUUCUUGAUCUGCGGUUCGGAUUUAUCACCGCCCGAUUCGCCGCUAUAGCCACCGCUGAAGAGAUCUUCCUUGUUGUCACCGUGUGCCCAUUUCGACUGGAAAUAGAAUCCGGUGUAAGCCCAAACCAAAGGACAAUGCGGUUACUUCUAAGACAGUGAGAGCUAAACACACCGCUACGUGCUUCUCUUCUAGGAGUUUGGCCCGAGUUUAAUCUCCUGGAAGAAGGGGAACCCCUCGGACUUAAUUUCCCCGACGAUGAUGACUUCAAGCCGCCGCCACCACCACCACCACCGCUGCCUCCCCCAGGCCUCAGUGGUGAUAGCCUAACUAAAGUUUCUUCAUCCAUCUCAAAAAAUUAUCAAUUACCAAGGCUUAUAUAAUAUUUCAACAAAAUGAACCUAUAUACACAAUCACCAAAGAAACCACCCCCAAAAGAAUUCUUCAACUCAAAAUCCAAGAAACACCGCUAGAGUUGGUUAUUUCCUGCACCAGAAAAUCAAAGAUUUCUUUCAAAAAAAUAAAAAUUGAAAACAUUUGCUACCUAAACGGCGCCGUUCUUUUAUUUUCCUCCAAUCCCAUGGCAGCAUUCUUUUCUUUUUGUUUAAUUUCGGAAGCAGCUCGAUUCCGAAAAUCGUCGGUGUGGCCCCGUUUUCUCAAUUUAUUUUCGCUUUUCUUUCUUUUUUCAUUCUCCAAUCGGGAGGCAGCAGACUUGGGGAGAACAUCUUCUCUCACCUCUAUCGCCGGCGCCGCUUCUCUCAAAAGUUCCUGCACUACCGCCAUGCGAUAGCCGACCACGAGAGGCAAUCGAGAGGGGUCACCGCUUCCGGCGUCGACGAGCAUAAACACCGCCGCCUCUGCCGCCUACACGGACGACAACCUUUAUGUAGUAUGUGCAUUCCCCCAUUUUUCUGCCCCCACUUCAGUUUCCUUUUUUAAAUUGAACAUUUGAUUGACCGUCGGAGCGGGGGAGUCCCCGGUCACAGGGGAUCACAAACCGGUUCCGCGUAGGUGGAAGAAGAGGCGGCGUUGAUUUCCGGCGACGUUGGAAUGACCGAGCCUCUCUUGCGGCGCGUUGGCGGCGGCUGUGCAGGAGCCUAUGACGGCGGCAGAAUAGUCAGAGAGAGAUGUGAGGGGAGAUGUCGUCCGAAUGGGGGAGAAGAAAUAGUUAUUGAUGAUGGGGAGGGCAGGUCAAUAAUUGUAGGCGGAGAAGAAUUAGAGAAGAUAAAAGAAAAUCCAAAAAAAAAUUAGCAGGUCGAUCGUGCAUUUGCUGAAAGAAAAAGAAAAAGAAAAGAAAGGGGAGAUAUGAUUUGUGGGAAUUGAUGGAACGACGUCGUUCCAGAUUAAAAGUGGCAAAAUAAAAAGCGGAAAAAAAUAGGGGGGCCAAGAAAGGGGGUUAUCAACAUAUAUAUAUACUUAAUAUAUAUAUAUAAGUAAGAGCAACUCCAAUAGUAAACAUCAAAAUUGGAUUAUCAAGUACUCAUUUGAUAAUUAAGAUAAUAUUUUAAUAUCCAUCUACAUUUUGUCUACUCGAACCAUAAUUAUCAAAAUUAAUAAUCAAUUGGAAGUUUUUUAGUGGUUUUAUUUGUAAUUACCACGUGUUAUUUUUUGAUUGGAUGUUUAUGUAGUUAUUUUUUGAUAAUUCAAUUUUUCAGGAUGUAUUUUUUCAUACAAAGAGGUAGAAUAUCAAAAUAUUUGUCCAUUUUGAUACUCCCGUUGGAGUAGAAAAUUUUAAUUUUAGGAUAUCAAAAAGGUAGUUUAUGGGUUUGAUAAUCCAUUUGAUACUCCUUUGGAGUUGUUGCUCUAAUUCCCCACAAACUAUAAUCAAACAUUGUUCUUUUUUUGAAACUGACGCAGAACAGAAGCACAAAAGGAAUUAAUUUCUACGAAUUAAUUCUAUAGAACACGAUAACUCUGGAAUCCACCAGAUAAUUGAGAGAAAACUCAGAAAUCUUAUUAAUAAUUAAAGAUGCUGAAAAAUAAACUCUAGAGCAACUAUUUAUACUAAAGAAAACGAAAAACCCGAAUCAAACUAGGAAAACGAGACAAUUGUCAAAAAAGGCAAAAAAACAAAAUAACUUCUAAACCUAGUAGAAUACCGAAAAUUUGAAACAUGUCAACUUGCGGAUUUCUAAUCCGAAUUUUCUAGCAUUAAUUAGGAAUUAUUUUGAAGGCCCAAACGAUCUCGAAACACCAAAAUCCAGCGCACGUUAAAUCAAUGUUAAAUUACGAAAAACUCAUUCAUGUUUGGGUAAUUACAACCACCCUACUUAUGUAUUGUCUUGCACGUCUAAUCUUACGGUGUCAAAUUUACUUCCUGAAAAAUGGUUUUUUUUGGUAGAGACUACAUAUGUGAAGGGUGUAGUUAUAAUUGUUUAAAUAUAAGGGACUUUUUCGUAAUUUGACCUUACCUCAAGGGUUGACCGUAAUUUGCCCUUAUUAGAAACAAGUGCAGUUCCCCCUUUAAAACGAGGUAGCUUUUAAGUACAAAACUAAACCUAAAUUCCCAAAUCAAAUAGCCCUAAUUCAUCACAAGAUUCAUAUCUCAAACUAAAUGCAAACAUUUAGAAAAUAAAAUGUAAUGAAUUCCCAAAGUUACGAAUGGGUCUUCAUCUCUAUCAAUCGGACUCUGAGGUACGAAUUUCUACUCUCUCUCUCUCUCUCUCUCUCUCUCUCUCUACCAUUCAAGUCAAAGCGAAUUAAAAAUUCAAUUAUUUGUUGAUUUCUUUUUCCCAGUUUCAUGUACGUUAUACAUAUGAAAAAUGAAAUGUUUAUUGUAAUGUAGAAAUAGUAGAUACUACUAACGGGUUUUGAGUUGUGAUUUUUACGAGUCGUUACAGAAAAUAUAAUUUAUCUUUUUCCUUUAUUCAGAAAAUCUAUGCUGAACUAAAUUUCCGAUUGAAUGAUGAUAUAAAAGUCCGUGCUUUGUUUGAACGAGCACUAAGUUCUAUUUAUUCACUCUGUUUUUGCUUUAGUUGCUAUCGUUCUGCAGUUUGUUUACAUAUAUCGAAUUUUCGAUUUAGAUACUUAGGGGCCGUUGAUCGAUAUGAACGAGUGUGAAACAGAAACAUGAUUAAUUUUAUAAAAAAAUUGUACGUUAAUACUUUUAUUUGCAUGUAGCUUUAUUUUGAUAUAUUUUGCAAACAAACUUAUGUAUUUUAUCCAGGCUACAUGUUUUCAGAAAUAUAUACUAUCCGAAAAGAGGUGAGAAGUAGAAUCUUACGUAACAUAAUUUUGAGCACGCUGUGGCUAAACUUCGCUUUUAAUUUCUCCCCUUUUCUUUUUAUAAUUAUAUAUUGUUUCUAACCCGCUCUCUGUAUAAUAUAUUAGAAUAUAAAACGUAUAUGAUCACUUUGGAAUAUUUGAUUUACAUGCAGCACAUAUAUUCUGCACGAUCGAAAAAUUGUUUUUUCAUUUGUCAGAGUCAUAAUCAAUUUCACUUUUUAGAUCUAAAUAAAUCUCAAUUUAAUCUUUAUUUACGGAUCGUUGAACUUGUCAAAUGAGAUGAAUACUGUUUUUAUUACAACAGUUAUGAUCCGAUUCUCCUCCCAUCGCAAAUUGCUGUUUGUCUCGAAGAAUAAGGCGGAUACAUAGAAGUAUGAGUUAUAAUAUACGAUGGUACGUAUCUGAAUUUAUCUUGUACAUUUUCAUAAGAUUGUCUUCAAGUAGUGUCUAAAAUUUAACUUUUUUAUGUAUGCAACAUUUUAAAUUAAAAGAAUGCGUUUAUUCAUCGUCACUUUCUAGAUGCCAAAUAGAAAAUCGUCUCUUUAUUUUUUUGGAAAUCAGUACAAUUCUUGUUGUACCUCGUUUUAUUAUUUACUAGCAUUUUUCCCCGUGCGAUGCACGGUAUCGAAUUUUAAAAUUGAAAAAAAAUAAUCAAUUUAACAAAUUGAAUUUCUAUCUUUAUUUUUUAUGAUUUGGGAUAUAUUGAUGAAAAACAGGAGGUUGAAGUAUUUUUCACGAUUCAUCAGUUUGAUAAUUGUUGAAAAUAUAGUUAAAAUUAGUAAAAAAAAAAAAAAUUAAAAAUAACUAAUUACAGAAAUGUAAUUAGGGUUUUUUAGGGUUGCCCAGCGUUUCUUUCUUUUAUAUAUAAGAUAACUGUUAGCUGCCAUAAGUAAAAAUAACUAGUGCUGCUCGACUCAUUUGACGAAAUGAAUGUUAACGACUGGUUUUCAUUAUGAUCUAUAUACAUAUUCGUCCACAAUAAACACGUAUACCAAAACAAAUAUUAGAUGCAUGCUCUAAAGAAUUCUUAUUAUAAUUAUUAUAUAUAAUAAUGAUUUUUUGUAAUUGAUUAAUUGCUCCCUAUUGUAGAAUGCAUUGGUCACCAAUAAAUGCUGAUAAUAAAUGCUGAUUUUUGGAUUUUAGCUAUAAGAUUUUUGAUAUAUGGUGCCCAAUUUUAUGAAUUUUCAAGCAAUCGGAUUUGUAUGUUUCCAGUCAAGCAAAAGAAGGUCAAAAAAGGAAAAUGAAAAAUAGUAAUGAAGGAAAAAUAAUAUGUAAAAAGAAGAAUAAAUAAAUGGUAGAAUAUCUGGAUUUGUGAAGAAUUUUAUUACAACUUAUACGAGAAGUACUCGUAACGAUGUUGCAUGGGGUCUUGAAAUAGAAGAUGACAAAUAUGUACAUAAACACGCGCGUAAUUGUUUAGUAUUUAGGGUUUAGGGUUUUUGAUUCGUAAAAUAUAUGUAUGUACGUGUACAACUAUAUACGUACCGUACGAUAUGUAUAUGCGUAUACAUGCCUAAUUUAGCCAUCCCAAACUCCGUUUCCACAUUAUUCUCGAACAAGUUUGUCGAAAUUAAAAUGAAGCUUCAAUUAGAGUUCGUCUGCUUUUCAUCAUGUAAAAUAUUUUAAUUUUAUAUUAUUUGCCAACUUUUAUGUAUUUGUUAUUUUGUUUAUAAUUCAAAUAAUGUUUUAAAUGCUGUAGCUAGUCAUGGAAAUAAUUCAAAAACACACACGAAAUUAUUUACCAAAUUCAUCUUUUCAGAUUUCGUAAUAACUAUCUCUUGACUUUCCUCCCAUUUCAGUCUAGAUUUUGCAAAACCAUUCCUCGAUUCUAUUCUCGUAUUUGCUAAAUCUAUAAUUAAUUUCUUAUUAUGUUGUCAACCAAGACAAGAACUUCAUCUAUUUAACCUCGUUUUCAUUUCGAUUAUUUCUCACUCUCUCAACAUCUUCAAGCCCUUCAUUGCAUCUACGAUUUUUUUUUUCGUUUUUUUCGAAAUAUUUUGUAUAAAAUUUAAAAUGUCACAUGUACGUGGGAGUAAAAAAAAUCCAUCAGUGGACGAGCGCCCCGUAAUUUUGG
rnacentral:lncRNA from 1 species